rnacentral:rRNA from 1 species
GAGUUUGAUCAUGGCUCAGGAUGAACGCUGGCGGCGUGCUUAACACAUGCAAGUCGAACGAACCUUCGGGUUAGUGGCGGACGGGUGAGUAACGCGUGGGAAUCUGCCCUCAGGAGGGGGAUAACGGUUGGAAACGACCGCUAAUACCCCAUAUGCCGAGAGGUGAAAUGAAUUUCGCCUGAGGAUGAGCCCGCGUCUGAUUAGCUUGUUGGUGAGGUAAUGGCUCACCAAGGCAUCGAUCAGUAGCUGGUCUGAGAGGAUGAUCAGCCACACUGGGACUGAGACACGGCCCAGACUCCUACGGGAGGCAGCAGUGGGGAAUUUUCCGCAAUGGACGAAAGUCUGACGGAGCAACGCCGCGUGAGGGACGAAGGCCUCUGGGCUGUAAACCUCUUUUCUCAAGGAAGAAGAUAUGGCGGUACUUGAGGAAUAAGCCACGGCUAAUUCCGUGCCAGCAGCCGCGGUAAUACGGGAGUGGCAAGCGUUAUCCGGAGUUAUUGGGCGUAAAGCGUCCGCAGGCGGCCUUUCAAGUCUGCUGUUAAAGCGUGGAGCUUAACUCCAUCAUGGCAGUGGAAACUGAUUGGCUUGAGUAUGGUAGGGGUAGAGGGAAUUCCCGGUGUAGCGGUGAAAUGCGUAGAUAUCGGGAAGAACACCAGUGGCGAAGGCGCUCUACUGGGCCAUUACUGACGCUCAUGGACGAAAGCCAGGGGAGCGAAAGGGAUUAGAUACCCCUGUAGUCCUGGCCGUAAACGAUGAACACUAGGUGUCGGGGGGAAUCGACCCCUUCGGUGUCGUAGCUAACGCGUUAAGUGUUCCGCCUGGGGAGUACGCACGCAAGUGUGAAACUCAAAGGAAUUGACGGGGGCCCGCACAAGCGGUGGAGUAUGUGGUUUAAUUCGAUGCAACGCGAAGAACCUUACCAGGGCUUGACAUCCUGCGAACCUUUAAGAAAUUAGAGGGUGCCUUCGGGAACGCAGUGACAGGUGGUGCAUGGCUGUCGUCAGCUCGUGUCGUGAGAUGUUGGGUUAAGUCCCGCAACGAGCGCAACCCACGUUUUUAGUUGCCAGCAUUUAGUUGGGCACUCUAGAAAGACCGCCGGUGAUAAACCGGAGGAAGGUGUGGAUGACGUCAAGUCAUCAUGCCCCUUACGUCCUGGGCUACACACGUACUACAAUGCUACAGACAAAGGGCAGCAAACUCGCGAGAGCUAGCAAAUCCCAUAAACCGUGGCUCAGUUCAGAUCGUAGGCUGCAACUCGCCUACGUGAAGUAGGAAUCGCUAGUAAUCGCAGGUCAGCAUACUGCGGUGAAUACGUUCCCGGGCCUUGUACACACCGCCCGUCACACCAUGGAAGUUGGCCACGCCCGAAGUCGUUACUUUAACCCUUGUGGAGAAGGACGCCGAAGGUGGGGCUGAUGACUGGGGUGAAGUCGUAACAAGGUAACC